AAAUUGAAGAGUUUGAUCAUGGCUCAGAUUGAACGCUGGCGGCAGGCCUAACACAUGCAAGUCGAACGGUAACAGGAAGAAGCUUGCUUCUUUGCUGACGAGUGGCGGACGGGUGAGUAAUGUCUGGGAAACUGCCUGAUGGAGGGGGAUAACUACUGGAAACGGUAGCUAAUACCGCAUAACGUCGCAAGACCAAAGAGGGGGACCUUCGGGCCUCUUGCCAUCGGAUGUGCCCAGAUGGGAUUAGCUUGUUGGUGGGGUAACGGCU
rnacentral:rRNA from 1 species